AGACGGUGCUCCUCCUAUAAAUAGGUGUGCUGCUGCCCGGCAUACUAGUUGCCACAUCUGUCGAUAUGAUAUACCACGCUGGAAAGAACAGAGAGAGGUUACAUAUGUCUCUGAGAGAAAAGAGAGUGUAAAAGUGUGAAUUUCACCCCUACGAUUCCCGAGUUGCGCAGCAGAAGAGUUCGUCGAUCGGAGAUUAGGCUGGACCAGCGGGUGGGAAGCGAAGUAGAGAAACUAGUUGUAUUCUUUUGUAAAUGUAAAAGAAAUAUCUAAAGAUGUUGUAUGUGAGCUUCUCGUGAUC